AACACCUCUGCUUGCUGCUGCCUUACAAAAUGGCUCCAGAUUACUCUGUCCUUCUUGGGCAAUGAUGGACAUAACUAACCAAGAUGUUCUAUCUCUGAAGAAAGUAUAUGGUUCUCCUUAGAACAGUGGACAAUUUAGUGUACGGUACAGAGGUUUAGUACUCAACUGGGAGACAGCAUUGAUCUCCAGGGGUUCUGAAGGGCACCCCGCCUCUUUUCUGGACUUGGGAUCCGAAUUGGAGUCUAUCAGACUGGUAUUGCAAGUUUUGCAGCCCAAUCUUCUGCCUAGUCUCCGUGGGGAGCAGGGAGAGAGUCGACUUUCAGGUGAGUCCCAGAUAUCUGCGCUGUAUUCGGCUCGCUCAUGUUGAGCCGGAUUGUGGUUGGCAGAAAAGCAACCUUUGGUCCAGGAAGACGGAUGCUUCCUUGAGUUCAAAGAGGCACAUGAAUAGAGAA